GACGAACGCUGGCGGCGUGCUUAACACAUGCAAGUCGAACGGAAAGGCCCUGCUUUUGUGGGGUGCUCGAGUGGCGAACGGGUGAGUAACACGUGAGUAACCUGCCCUUGACUUUGGGAUAACUUCAGGAAACUGGGGCUAAUACCGGAUAGGAGCUCCUGCUGCAUGGUGGGGGUUGGAAAGUUUCGGCGGUUGGGGAUGGACUCGCGGCUUAUCAGCUUGUUGGUGGGGUAGUGGCUUACCAAGGCUUUGACGGGUAGCCGGCCUGAGAGGGUGACCGGCCACAUUGGGACUGAGAUACGGCCCAGACUCCCACGGGAGGCAGCAGUGGGGAAUAGUGCACAAUGGGCGGAAGCCUGAUGCAGCAACGCCGCGUGCGGGAUGACGGCCUUCGGGUGGUAAACCGCUUUCGCCUGUGACGAAGCGUGAGUGACGGUAAUGGGUAAAGAAGCACCGGCUAACUACGU
rnacentral:rRNA from 1 species